rnacentral:tRNA from 7 species
GGCUUUUCGCUUAGUGGUAGAAUAAUGUCUUGGUAAGACAGAAGUCAUCGGUUCGAAUCCGAUAAUUUGUUG